UUCAUUGGUUGUUCAACACGUUGAAAGCUCGACAUUUCGUCCGAUCUGUCAAGUUGAGCAGUUUUGGGCCUGGUUAGUACUUGGGUCGGAGAUGGCCUGGGAAUCCCAGGCAUUGUUGACA
rfam:Onchocerca volvulus assembly O_volvulus_Cameroon_v3 genomic scaffold, OVOC_OM4